CCUCCUUUCUUGGUAUGCACGCUGUCUUCCUGUACUGGUAUGUGUGUGUUAUGGAGGGAUAUGAAGUCCAGUGCUAUGUCUUCGGUGCCAGAACGUUCCCAUUUUCUGGUUCUAUCCUCAGUCGCUGAUAUCUAC